ACGGAAGGCAGCAGUGGGGAAUAUUGCACAAUGGGCGAAAGCCUGAUGCAGCGACGCCGCGUGAGUGAAGAAGCAUCUCGGUAUGUAAAGCUCUAUCAGCAGGGAAGAAAAUGACGGUACCUGACUAAGAAGCCCCGGCUAACUACGUGCCAGCAGCCGCGGUAAUACGUAGGGGGCAAGCGUUAUCCGGAUUUACUGGGUGUAAAGGGAGCGUAGACGGUUUGGCAAGUCUGAAGUGAAAUGCGGGGGCUCAACUCCUGAACUGCUUUGGAAACUGUCGAACUAGAGUGCAGGAGAGGUAAGUGGAAUUCCUAGUGUAGCGGUGAAAUGCGUAGAUAUUAGGAGGAACACCAGUGGCGAAGGCGGCUUACUGGACUGUAACUGACGUUGAGGCUCGAAAGCGUGGGGAGCAAACAGGAUUAGAUACCCUGGUA
rnacentral:rRNA from 1 species